UGAAUGAUUGAAACACACCCAGCAUGAUAUAAAUGUUCUUGAGUUCAGAUUGGUGGCAUGUAGUGCACUCACCUUGUCCUGGAUUGAGAACAAGAAAUCAUGAGGGCCCAAGUCGUCUUCCUGCUCCUGGCGCUGGUGGCCGCGCUUGCUUUUUUCAUGGAUGCUGACGCGAGCGAGACCAAAGAAAACGUCAAGUUUGAGAAUGUGAUUGAACUUGAAAAGAGGGAGAUGGCCAGAUGGCCACCGGGCUACAGAUCAAGACGCAAUCUAGAUGAAAAAUCCAACAUGGAAAGAAUGGGUCUGCCUCCAUCCAUCUCAUGACAACAAGCCAGAUGAUUUGUUGAAGAAGUCUGAGGAAGAUUCACAGGAAGAGUUUCAAAUCUCACAAUAAACACUUCCUUGUCUUGA